rnacentral:rRNA from 1 species
CACGUAGGGGGGCAAGCGUUGUCCGGAUUUAUUGGGCGUAAAGAGCUCGUAGGCGGCUCAGUAAGUCAGGUGUGAAACCUCCAGGCUCAACCUGGAGACGCCACCUGAUACUGCUGUGGCUAGAGUCCGGUAGGGGAGCGUGGAAUUCCUGGUGUAGCGGUGAAAUGCGCAGAUAUCAGGAGGAACACCAGCGGCGAAGGCGGCGCUCUGGGCCGGAACUGACGCUGAGGAGCGAAAGCGUGGGUAGCAAACAGG